rnacentral:rRNA from 2 species
CAUUAUACCGUGAAACUGCGAAUGGCUCAUUAAAUCAGUUAUCGUUUAUUUGAUAGUACCUUACUACUUGGAUAACCGUGGUAAUUCUAGAGCUAAUACAUGCUAAAAACCCCAACUUCGGGAGGGGUGUAUUUAUUAGAUAAAAAACCAACGCCCUUCGGGGCUUCUUGGUGAUUCAUGAUAACUUUACGGAUCGCAUGGCCUUGCGCCGGCGACGGUUCAUUCAAAUUUCUGCCCUAUCAACUUUCGAUGGUAAGGUAUUGGCUUACCAUGGUUUCAACGGGUAACGGGGAAUUAGGGUUCGAUUCCGGAGAGGGAGCCUGAGAAACGGCUACCACAUCCAAGGAAGGCAGCAGGCGCGCAAAUUACCCAAUCCCGACACGGGGAGGUAGUGACAAUAAAUACUGAUACAGGGCUCUUUUGGGUCUUGUAAUUGGAAUGAGUACAAUUUAAACCUCUUAACGAGGAACAAUUGGAGGGCAAGUCUGGUGCCAGCAGCCGCGGUAAUUCCAGCUCCAAUAGCGUAUAUUAAAGUUGUUGCAGUUAAAAAGCUCGUAGUUGAAACUUGGGUCUGGCUGGCAGGUCCGCCUCACCGCGUGUACUUGUCCGGCCGGGCCUUCCUUCUGGAGAACCUCAUGCCCUUCACUGGGCGUGUUGGGGACCAGGACUUUUACUUUGAAAAAAUUAGAGUGUUCAAAGCAGGCCUUUGCUCGAAUACGUUAGCAUGGAAUAAUAGAAUAGGACGUGCGGUCCUAUUUUGUUGGUUUCUAGGACCGCCGUAAUGAUUAAUAGGGACAGUCGGGGGCAUCAGUAUUCAAUUGUCAGAGGUGAAAUUCUUGGAUUUAUUGAAGACUAACUACUGCGAAAGCAUUUGCCAAGGAUGUUUUCAUUAAUCAGUGAACGAAAGUUAGGGGAUCGAAGACGAUCAGAUACCGUCGUAGUCUUAACCGUAAACUAUGCCGACUAGGGAUCGGGCGAUGUUCUUUUUCUGACUCGCUCGGCACCUUACGAGAAAUCAAAGUUUUU